rnacentral:rRNA from 1 species
AUUGAACGCUGGCGGCAUGCCUUACACAUGCAAGUCGAACGGCAGCACGGGAGCAAUCCUGGUGGCGAGUGGCGAACGGGUGAGUAAUAUAUCGGAACGUGCCCGGUCGUGGGGGAUAACGUAGCGAAAGCUACGCUAAUACCGCAUACGAUCUACGGAUGAAAGCGGGGGAUCGCAAGACCUCGCGCGAUUGGAGCGGCCGAUAUCAGAUUAGGUAGUUGGUGAGGUAAAGGCUCACCAAGCCGACGAUCUGUAGCUGGUCUGAGAGGACGACCAGCCACACUGGGACUGAGACACGGCCCAGACUCCUACGGGAGGCAGCAGUGGGGAAUUUUGGACAAAUGGGCGCAAGCCUGAUCCAGCAAUGCCGCGUGCAGGAUGAAGGCCU